rnacentral:rRNA from 1 species
CCUACGGGCGGCAGCAGUGGGGAAUAUUGGGCAAUGGGCGCAAGCCUGACCCAGCAACGCAGCGUGAAGGAAGAAGGCUCUCGGGUUUUAAACUUCUUUUGUUAGGGAAGAGUAGAAGACGGUACCUGACGAAUAAGCCACGGCUAACUACGUGCCAGCAGCCGCGGUAAUACGUAGGUGGCAAGCGAUGUCCGGAUUUACUGGGUGUAAAGGGCGUGUAGCCGGGUUGACAAGUCAGAUGUGAAAUUCUGCGGCUUAACCGAAGAACUGCAUUUGAAACUGUUGCUCUUGAGUACGGGAGAGGCAGACGGAAUUCGUGGUGUAGCGGUGAAAUGCGUAGAUAUUAGGAAGAACACCAGUGGCGAAGGCGGUCUGCUGGAGAGCAACUGACGGUGAGGCGCGAAAGCGUGGGGAGCGAACAGGAUUAGAUACCCGAGUAGUC